UGGGGAAUUUUGGACAAUGGGGCAACCCUGAUCCAGCAAUGCCGCGUGAGUGAAGAAGGCCUUCGGGUUGUAAAGCUCUUUUGUCAGGGAAGAAACGGUAGUAGCGAAUAACUACUACUAAUGACGGUACCUGAAGAAUAAGCACCGGCUAACUACGUGCCAGCAGCCGCGGUAAUACGUAGGGUGCAAGCGUUAAUCGGAAUUACUGGGCGUAAAGCGUGCGCAGGCGGUUGUGUAAGUCAGAUGUGAAAUCCCCGGGCUCAACCUGGGAAUUGCAUUUGAGACUGCACGGCUAGAGUGUGUCAGAGGGGGGUAGAAUUCCACGUGUAGCAGUGAAAUGCGUAGAUAUGUGGAGGAAUACCGAUGGCGAAGGCAGCCCCCUGGGAUAACACUGACGCUCAUGCACGAAAGCGUGGGGAGCAAACAGGAUUAGAUACCCCGGUAGUCCCUGAGCGGGCUGGCAAGGCGCAU
rnacentral:rRNA from 1 species